CUCCGAGGAACAUUCAACGCUGUCGGUGAGUUUGGGAUUUGAAAAAACCACCGACCGUUGACUGUACCUUGGGG
rnacentral:pre_miRNA from 1 species